rnacentral:rRNA from 1 species
UUGUCUCUCUUGAGUGGAUCCUGAGUACGACGGAGCACGUGAAAUUCCGUCGGAAUCUGGGAGGACCAUCUCCUAAGGCUAAAUACUCUCUAGUGACCGAUAGUGAACCAGUACCGUGAGGGAAAGGUGAAAAGCACCCCGGAAGGGGAGUGAAAUAGAACCUGAAACCGUGUGCUUACAAGUAGUCAGAGCCCGUUAAUGGGUGAUGGCGUGCCUUUUGUAGAAUGAACCGGCGAGUUACGAUUUGAUGCAAGGUUAAGCAGUAAAUGUGGAGCCGUAGCGAAAGCGAGUCUGAAUAGGGCGUUUAGUAUUUGGUCGUAGACCCGAAACCAGGUGAUCUACCCUUGGUCAGGUUGAAGUUCAGGUAACACUGAAUGGAGGACCGAACUGACUUACGUUGAAAAGUGAGCGGAUGAACUGAGGGUAGCGGAGAAAUUCCAAUCGAACCUGGAGAUAGCUGGUUCUCUCCGAAAUAGCUUUAGGGCUAGCCUCAAGUGAUGAUUAUUGGAGGUAGAGCACUGUUUGGACGAGGGGCCCCUCUCGGGUUACCGAAUUCAGACAAACUCCGAAUGCCAAUUAAUUUAACUUGGGAGUCAGAACAUGGGUGAUAAGGUCCGUGUUCGAAAGGGAAACAGCCCAGACCACCAGCUAAGGUCCCAAAAUAUAUGUUAAGUGGAAAAGGAUGUGGCGUUGCCCAGACAACUAGGAUGUUGGCUUAGAAGCAGCCAUCAUUUAAAGAGUGCGUAAUAGCUCACUAGUCGAGUGACACUGCGCCGAAAAUGUACCGGGGCUAAACAUAUUACCGAAGCUGUGGAUUGUCCUUUGGACAAUGGUAGGAGAGCGUUCUAAGGGCGUUGAAGCAUGAUCGUAAGGACAUGUGGAGCGCUUAGAAGUGAGAAUGCCGGUGUGAGUAGCGAAAGACGGGUGAGAAUCCCGUCCACCGAUUGACUAAGGUUUCCAGAGGAAGGCUCGUCCGCUC